UUUCGCUGGCAUUCUUCCUAUCGCAAUAAUAUCAAAAAUGUAAAUGUUCUUGAAUAGACACACUAGAGUGCCAAGUGAUUGUGGCCCCAAAAAUCAAUUGCAAAUAAAAAUGGAAUUAAAAUCGCCUCGACUGACAAGUUUCUUAGGUAUUACGAACUCAAUAUAUAAGUAAGCUGGAUAUAAUUUGGAUUUGGGAAAAAGAAGAAGAGGAAGGCACCACAACAGGGCAUUGCCAACUGUCCUAUUUGCAUUCAGAAAGGGAUGGCUAUGAAUCACUCGAAUUUUGCGAUGCCCACGUACGAGGAAAAUGAGAGAAUGGCACGGGAAGCAGCUCAUCGUAGCAUGCCAACCCACGAGGGAAACGAGAGAUCGGCGCGGGAAGCAACUCUUCGUAGCAUUCAAGAAGAAUCCACCCUCGCUAUUCCUGACGUACACCCAGCAGAGAUGCUAUCCACCUCCGCCAGUUGCUCAUGGACAAGAUCCCAUCUUCUGCGGGUGCAACCGAUGUCGCAGGGAACGAGGAGAAAUAGAUCCGCUUACUGUGGAACUUCUGCCCAUGGAUGCUCAAGUUACUCUGCAGAAUUCUAUUCUGCAGAGCUCCUUGCAGGAUGCUGGGUUUAUGUGCUCCAUUUUGUAAGAUUAUUGCGAAAUCUGAAGCAUUUAAUGGUGCAUCAAAAUUAGAUAUUUUAAGUACAUUGGCUUCUUUUUUACUUAAGUUCUAAAUCUUUAUACUUUAUGAGUAGCUGUAAUUUUAACAACAGAAAUUAUCAUGUUCUUCAAAUUAGAAUGAUUAAUGUGGUAAUACAGAAAACCUUUGUAUAUGAGUAAUGAACAAAAAUACUUAUAAUUGCUCAAAAUGUAGUGAUGCAUUAAAUAAACUGAGCCAAACCUCACAAAUUUAUCAGCUUAGUUUUUAAUCUAUUCUAUUUGUAACAGUGGUUCUCAAACUUUAUUUCUAUACUCCUUGCUUCCUUCUCAGCACGUGUCAGUAUGCCAAUCCUCCCUCUCUACAAAUUUGUUUUACUCCAAAUAAUAAGCAAAAUAAAAGUAUAGUAUGCUGUAAAGAUAUCCUGCCAGGUUAUUACAGGAGGUGCUUAAAAUGUCCUUCUUGGAUUUCUAGACCUUUUUUUGUACGUGUCUUCUGUGGUGGCCUUGAUUAGAAAAAACGGCAUUGGUGCAAUUCGGGCUUAAGAAAAUGCGAUUAGUUGAAAAAGAAAAUGAUGAAUCUGAAUAUCAUUCAAUAUCUAUUACAACGCAAAUUAUUUAAUAUAUACGUGCAGAACGAUUUUAAUAUAAAUUUGUGUUUACGAUACUAUAAAUACAAUAUUAUCAGCAAUUUAUUUAAAAUUACAAUAUAGUUCCUCAAAACUUAUUAAACGUGUUUAAUUACAGUAUUUAAAAAUAAUUAUGUAAACAAUUUAUUUAAAAUAACAACGUACAUAAGCAUUCCAGAAAAUUUUAUUUUUUACUAAAUACAUGGGGAAAAUCUACUUACUGUUAUAUUCAGAACAAUCCCAUUAGCAAUGUACUAUAUAUAUAUAAACAUACAGGAAAAUUCACUUUUUAUGGACUCUUUCAAGUGGGUAUAGUUUCAGCAAUUGUUGCUAAAUAAAAAAACCAACUAUACUGAUAGAAUGUAAUUGCGAAAAACCUGUCAAACUGUUAACCAUUUGUUUCUCACACAUACGCAGAUCGGCAACGGUUUGUCUCCCUUGAUUCUCGCCAAUGCUGAAAUGCGCCAAAUCUCUCCAAGGUGUCUGCAGAAGACAAGUACCCAUUUUUUCGCACGUGAAAUCACAUUGUAUCUAACCUUACUUAAAACAUAAAUGUCAAAUGAGCAAUACUUUCAUGAAUGCUCUUUUUAAGUUAAUCAAUCGUUUAGAGGUUCUUUCCGUGAAUAUAUUUACAGAUUUAAGGCUUAUUACAUUUAAUAAAUAUAAGGAAGCUUUUCAUUGAUUUCACUGCAUUUGCAUGCUAACUGAAUACAACUUUUUGGCCUCCAUUUUUUGUCACGUGAUUUCACUCCGUCUUUGACUUUUCUUUGCUGUGAACCUUUUGUUACGCUUUUCAUCUAUCAGUAUUAAAUCGAAAAAUCUCACCCUUCCAAUAAGACGCAUAAUAUCCCCUUUGGGGGAGAUUUCCCCCCCCCCGGUUGAGAAUCCCUGUUCUGUAAUAAGUAUUUUAAUAACAUUCUUUAUAAACAUUCUUUAGAGAACCAAAUAGCUUACGACACGAUUUCUACUAUGGCAAAAAGCAUGAAUUGCAUUGGAGCACUGAAAAAAUUUGUUCAUUUUAUGAGAUUUUAUACUAAAUUUCUACGUCAAUAAUUUUUAGUUGUUUUUAAAAUUUGCCUUUUCGAAAGGUAUUCGAUUUUAGAAAUCUUAAAAUUUUUAUGGUAUGCAAAUAAUUGAAAAAUCUCCAAACUAUAUUGUGUAUUUUUCCAAUGAUAUUGUCAUUAGCGCUGAGAUUAAUCGCUCAAUAUUCUGAACAUUUGCAGCAUUUUUAAAGCAGCUGCGUAAUAUUAGAUAUAUUUCUAUUAAAUGAAAUUUUAUAAUGACUUUAAGAACUAUCAUAAAUAGCAGUAUUCAUACGCUUUGUACGGCACAUGCCAAAUUCUGCAUCUCAAAUAGUAAUGAUGCUGACAGAAAUGUGAUCUCAUAACUGUUUCUUGUUGGAUUACAGUUUUUAUUGCAUAUUAAUUUAGAAAGACUUCAUCAAAUAUGGUCAAUGAUUCGUGCUGCAAAGUUUACGAAUUAGGUUUUAGGACUGUUUUCAUCCAAAAAAAAAAAAAAAAAAACACGUACUGAAACUAAAACGUAUAUUCAAAAAAAAAAAAAGAUUUUUUUAUUUAAAAUAAAAUUAGUAAUUCACGUUAUAUUUUAAAAUAAAGCCGCCAGUAGAAUACAUUGUAAAAGUUACAACAAUGCACUUAGUCCAAAUGAUCACACACUUGGAUAUUUCUUCACAUUUCUGUGGAAAAUUUUUUUAUCCUUACUGAAGACAAAGAAUUUAAUUCCUACGUAUUUGUAAUGAAUUAAUAAUUUAGUACUUUGAAUAUCCCAUCAGCCAUAUACACGGUGCUUUAAAGAGACUAGAUUAUUAAACUGCCGUUGGACGAAAGGUCAUAAACCCAUGGUUCGAGCUUCAGAAAUGAAUCAAAUAAGAUUACAACAGUUUUAAUCACAUAAUUCUAGCAAGCCUGUUAUUUUUUCGAGCCCUGUACAGAGGAAGUUCUAACUAAUAAGCUCUUCUUUGCAAUAUCAAGUCUUUUUAAUAAAAUCUGUCUCUGCAAAAUGAAAAAUUGACAAAUAGCCUUGAAAUAAAAUGCAAAAAUUAUAUCACUGUCACCCGAUGAAAAGAAAGUGCGAAAACAUCAAUUUUAGUGGUCAAAUCUGGUUAAAGAAAAAAUCUGAAAAUGAACAUUUCUAAAAUUUUAAAUCUAAACCCAUGCUUAUCUUCCUGUUUCUGUGACAUAAAUGGUGUUUAAUGGAAAACCGCACUUGAAAAUUUAUUAUUUAAUUUAGCCGGAUUUGUGCACAGUUCCCAGCUCCCCUUAGUUGACAUCGUCUCAAAUAAUUUUUAUUGUAUCAUUAUGAUAUUUUUUUUUUUUUUGCAUUAGUUGGAUCUUGUUGCUAGAUAAAAACACUACAUUUUUCUUUGUUCUAUUUAAAAACAAAUCUUAUGUAAUUUUGUUAAAAGAUAUCACGAGAUCAAAAAUGUUAUUUUCUGAAAGUCUAUGUUAUUUUUUUCAUUUCUUAAUCUGUAACCAUGAAUCUAUGACCAAUUUUUUAAGAAAUAUUCUGCCGCGCAAUUUAUAAUAAGCAACCUGUAUAGGUGAUGCAUAUCUUGCUACAGAAGCCCUGUCAUUUAUUUACGGCUGGCGACUUCAUUUACUCGAGCAGAAACAGAUUUAUUAAGUAUUUGUGAAUACAUUUAAUCAACACAAUGAAAAAAAUCUGAUUUUUGUUAGUGAGUAUACAUUUGUAACAAAAUUAUCAAAAUCUGCGUUCAUUCUGAAUAAUUUCUAAAAAACAAAUGCGUAUGGUUAUUGUUUCGUUUGGCAUAUACUAUGAUUUUUUUACAUAUUUUCUUGGCUAUAACCGAUUCAAACAGAUAUAUAUUUCUUACAGCAAGAACUGUUAUACAUCUAGGUUUUCCCCUCAUGCUUAUUUUUUAAAAAUAUUAUGCGCUUUACUUCAUCAGGUGGAAGAUAUAUUCAAUGGUAGCUGGAAUUAGCCCACUAGCAAACUAUUCAGCAAGCGAUGCUUUGGGAGUAUUUCAUUUUGUUUCAUUUUAUCUUUAUAAAACCUCAGCUUAAUGACUGCGAUGACUUUGUCGACUUUUAAGCUCCACAGGAAUUGAUUUCUAAAUGCGCUUGGCUCUCAGUCUGUUAAGAGCGAGUUAAAAAUCCUGCCUUCAUAAUUUCUGAAGGCGAUAAACCGACCAAGCAUUUAACAAAUAAAUGGCAAAGAAAAGAGAAGGCAUGUUUUAAGCUGCAGUGCAUUUUUCGUGAGAAAAAAUGCUAUGCGAGAAGGGAAGUUAAAUUAUUCAGGUGUUCAAUUACCUCUCGCUCUCACAACGUUCUUUAAACUAACAAAUGAUUUGGAUUGCUAAUAAAAUAAUAAGUCCCAACGUUUUACAAUCGGUGAAACUCAAUAUACUGUUCAAAAUUUGAGCUAAUUCAAAAUUUUAAACUAUUUAAUCUCCUCAGCGGGAGCUUCUUGAAUGAAUCCUUAAGUUCUCUCAACUAAAUCAUAAAAAAAUUUUAGAAGCGUUGUAUGCAAUCAAUAAUGCAUUUAUAACGUCAGUCUCUCUAGGUUUGUUGGUAAUGUUACUGUUUUUAAACUUUUCUAAUAAAUUUGUUUUUAAAUUUUACCUAAUAUAAGUUAUCUAAUUUUCAGUGAAACUGUUAUUAAUUUGGUUCAUUUUAUGUAAGCUAAAUUGUGUCCAUUUCAAAUACAGGAAUCUUCAUUCGUAAUUAUUGUCUUCUUUGCUUUAAUCUUUUCCUACUUUUGCAUUUUAUUCCACGGAGAUAUUAUAUGUCGCUGCAUGGAGAGACUUAAUAAUAUUUUAAUAUCUGUGCUAUCUAUUUGAAAGACUUUGAAAAAAUGAUAAUUAUAAAAAUGUGCAGCAGUUUAUGAAAAGAUCUUUCUAUAUAAUCAUGCCACUCGUUAAUUGAUAAUUAAAUAUCUAUAUAUGAAUUAAUUAUUGAAUCUUAUAUUAUAUGAAAUUAUGUAGUUUAUUUAAGGCAAUAUAUGUUGCUGCAUGAGGAGACGUAAUAAGUUUUUUAUAGCCAUGGUUAUUUUUAUAAACUGUCUUAAUAACCUUGUUCAGAAAUGUUACUAAUGUUGUUUAAAUUUCAUUUCAUAGUAUUAAUUUAUAAACUUAUUUUCAGAAAACUUAUUAAUUAGGUUCAUUUUUUGUAAGCUGUUUCAAAUACAGGAACUAUAAUUUUAGAAAAUGUUUCCUUCUUUUUGUUGGUAUUUCAUUCUUUUCUUAUAUUAUUAGAUAAUUAUUCAGGCUACCCAAUAUACGUAAGAUGUCUUCAUGGAGAAACUUAAUAAAAUUAUAGUAUCUGGGUUGUCUCUUUAAACGACUGGGAGAAAAUAAUUAAUGUUUUAAUACAAUAUUGUAAAAGAAACAUGAAAGUCCAUAAAAAGACAUUUGAAUGUGCUCAUCCCAAGCUUAUAUUGAUAACGUUAAAACUGUUAAAUAUAUAUAUGAAUAAAUUAAGAUGUUAUAUGCUUCUUCAUGUAGAGAGGUAAUAAAUUUUUAAUAUUAUCUGUGUUAUCUAUUAGGUCAACUGUUAAAAGAAAUAUAUUUUAGUCCAAUAUUGAAGAAAAAUGCAGAGCACUGUCGAAAGAUUUUUAUAUGUGGUUAUGAAACUCGUGAAAUGAAGACGAUAAAAUUUUUUAAAAUAUUGUAUGUAGAUAAAUUACAGAACUCGGUGUUUGUUUUUAAAAACUUCUAAUUUUGAACUACAGUACUUAAUUUUUUAUUUUUUAUUGUAUUACAUGAUGCUAGAAAUGUUAAAUUGCGUGCAUUUCAGAAAACUUGAUACUGUGUGCCUGUUCUGAAACUCAUGAGAACACAUCAAUUUAUAAAUUGUAUAAAUUUAUUGCUUGUUUAAAAGGGUUCAGUUUUCAAAAAAUUAUAACUAAAUUCAUUUCUCAAAAAUUAGACGCAUUUUGCUAAUUAUAGUAGCAUAAAAUUAUUCUAACAUUUGAGCAUUCAAAAGAAUUCUGCACUGUGGAAUAUUUUAAUAUCGUUUUGAAAUAGAAUAGUUAAUUUAUUCAUUUAUCUACUGAUAUUUUUUAGACUGCAGACAUACGUUAGAAAUUUUAAUUUUACGUUGUGUUUCACAGCGAUCGCACGGCUAAAAAUCUCGUGAACGAUUGAUCACAGACCUAUGAUUCACUUUUAAGAAAUGAAUUAAAUAAAGUUAUGACAGCUUUUAGGCUUUAAAUUCUGUGCCACUGUAUUCAGACAAGGCUUUGGUUACGUGACACCUUUUAGUAAAAAUAAACGAAAUUUUAGCUUUUAUAGGGGCCUCAGACGAAAAUAAUGUCGGUGAGAUAAAUGUUCUUUAUGGAUGCAGAAAUACUUUUUUUUUUUUUUCAUUUUCUACUGAUUAAAAAAAAUACAGAUACUCUUAACUAAAAUUUAGAAAACCAUGUAUGGAUUCUUUUAAAGACAGUUAGUUAUGCAUGCUAAGUUCUCGAAUCAGAUUUCUGAGAGACUUAUUUCAUCAAACAAAAGUUAUACAUAAGCAUGGGUUUGAGUCAAGAAGUGCUAAGACUCGAAAUUUUCUAUACCUCAAACUUAAAUUUAAUCAGCUCCAAAAACUAAAAUCGAUAUUCGCACAUCAGGUGAAAGUGGUUUAAGUCAUAUAAAUUACAAACUCGGCAACUCUCUUCAAGACUAAUGUUAUGUAUUAAGAACCAGUUUUUAUUCUCUUCUAAAAGAUAUUUAAUAGGCUAGGGAACAGCUUAGAAAUCGGAACUUCCUCCGUAGGGAGCCUACAUAAAAAAAAAAUGCUAUAUUUUUACUAAAAGCUAUAACCUGAUCCGAAAUUAAAACAACCUGAAAGCAUAUCCUUUUUUUAUUCAUUUCUUAAACUGAAACCAUAAGACUGUGGUCAAUCGUAUCUAGUCGUGAAAAGUAUCAUGUGUAUAUAUUUCUAUAUAUAGACACAUACAAAUAUAACCUCCAGUUCUGAAGAAACAAGUUCGUUGUUAAAACGGGUGAAAAUCAGAAAAAACGUGCGGAAAACACCACUGAUCCACGGGUCCGGUCCAUCAUCAAGAACCGGACUUAAAUUUUUCUGCUCUCGUGAUUGUUAAAUGCAGAUAUAUUGCAUUAGUGAGCAGAAUAUGUCUCAUUUCUCCUCAAAUUUUACUUGUAUUCGUAAUUCAGUGCAUUGCUUUGCUUGCUUUACAUAUUUUUUGUCCCCAUGUGAGUCCCUUAUGUGAGUUUCUGAGCGUUUCCCAUGUGAGUUUUUGUAAGCGAAUGCUUUUCACGAUUCAUUCAGGAAAGCCUGUCAUUUUUUUCCCAACUGUGUAAAAGCUAAUAGUCCCCCACUGUUUCCCUUCCCAUCAGUAUGUCUUUCCCUCCUCCCUAUCAGUAUCAUUUCGUAUUUCUUACACGUCAUUUAAUUUAAAGUGGUGUUAUUGUUUUAAUCAAUCUAUUUAUUAUUAAUACGUGUUGCGCUAUCGUAUGUGCUAAGAAUUUGUUGUAAUGUACUUGCACUGAGUAAACGUCUGUUAUGAGUGUUUUAGAGUUGUGACUAAAUAAAAGUUGCUGUUGUUAAGAAAAUCUUUUCCGGCAGAGUGUGAUGAAGAAAGCACCUUAUUCAUCGCAUUUUCUAUUCGAUGUAUUUUUCUCAUUUUCUUGUGCUAAAUUCACUAUGAGUGAACUUAUUGUUGUGUUUGUUAGUUAGUGUGAGCUUAGUGAUUCUUCUUAAGCAUUGCAUAUUAAAAUACUGCACACCCAUUAUAUAUAUAUAUAUAUAUAAUGUUGUAUUCAUGUAGUCACAAAAUGCGGUAAAAAUGUCUUUCCAAAGUUUGCACUUGAAAUAGGUUGUUUACUUAUAAGCAACAACUUGCAUUUGAAAUGCUGUUGGAAAAAAAAAUGCCAAGACAGUUAAAAAAAAAAAAAAAAAAAAAAAAAAAAUCUCUUUUUGGAAACAUUAAUCGAAAUCGCAAAAAUUAAUUUCAUAAGAACAAUGUGCCAAUGCUUAAUUUCUUAAUUUCAUAGGAUACAGAAGUAUAUAAUUUAAUACUCUGAUGCCAGAUAUUUAAUUCUCUGUACUUCGCUUAGUACUUUUCGCAGAGAUAGCCUGUGCUUCAAAGGACGAUUGCUCAGUAUCCUACUAUUCCAAACUUAAUAUUCAAAGACUUUUACGCUGCAAAUUUUUAAGGUUUAAAAGGCUUUUUUACCCGCAUUCAUUCAAAAUUUUUAACUGUUGGAAAGAUAAUAGUAAACUGUUUUCUAUGUAAGCUAUUUCUAGUAAAAAUAUGAAAGUAGGUAUUAGAGAAAUCGCUCUGCGUAUUGUGAAUGUGGUAAAUAUUUUGAAGCUAUGCAUAUAUAUAUGUGAACUUCUUAUAGCUAUUUGUAUAUUCAAAUAAUAAAACAUGAAUGUACUGACGCUACAGCGUAUCUGAAAGUAAAUAGGGUGUUUAAUGGUGUAUGAAUGUUGUAUUUGCAUUUACAGAUAUUUUGCUUGUGCUGCAUAAUUCGGGAUAAUAAGUAAAUUACUCUGGGUUUUACAUUUCUUAAUUCAUUGUUGUUCCGUGCUUGUUCUGUACUUGUUCAAACAAACAUAUACGUGGAAAACUGUUGCAAUAUUUAAAGUAUUCUUUGAAGGCAGUGAUAAAAGCAGCUAAAAAACAGUUAAUAAGUUGAAAAGUGAAAUUUAGCAUCAAUUAAAAGAAACUUCGGAAAACAAUUAUAUUAUACAAAGUCUUCGAAGAAGAUGGACCUGAUUUUAGAUCACAAUAUUGUGCUUUAUGGUAACAACAACUAAUUGUAGUUGUCCUGAGCAGCAUAAUUAAAGGCACUGGAUAAAGGGCGCUUGUAGUCAUCCCGUUCAUUGUAAACUUGCUUUGACCUUAAGGGCCUUUACUAAUUACACUACGCUGACAAACUACAGACAAUGUGUGCUAUAAAAACAAAAUCAAGUAUUUUCAUUACUUAAAGAUGUAGAGAGCCCUUGAUAUAAGAAUCUUCAAUUUUGUUCAUGAUGAAAGACGUGGAAGAUAAAACAUUGGAUCUGUCAUUUUGGACAUCGGUAAAUGAUAAUCCGCAAUAAUAUGACUAAUGGCUGACUUCAUUGAUGUGUGAGAUUUUGCAUUUUUCCUGUAUGCAUCCCCGGGUAUCCUUGUAUGUUCUCUGAUCCAGCUGAUAUGAAGCGACUUUAUUGUCUGGAACUUUUGGACAUGCUUUGGCUAUCUCGAAAAAUUCUCGAUUGGAUCUUUUAAAGCUCUGACGUUGUCUAGCCAAAAAGUGAAUUUCCUUAAUGCAGAUGAUUCCGCUUAGGAAAUAGUAGCAGUAUCAUUUAAUGUACAUUUUUCUGUAUGUAUUGUGGAGCCAUUGAUAUGAACUCCCAAUGCUGAGCUAACCUCAUCAUUUUAUUUGGAGCCGUCACUAAAAAUCUCGGAUCUUUAUGCAUUUGGAAAGAGCUUAUGCCAUUUAAUUUCAAAAAUAUAAAGGAGAAUAAUAAAAUUUUGUGGGAGUAGGCUGUAAGUUCAUGAUGUGAAUAAUAACAUCUUCUGGAAUUAUGGGCUCUUUAUAAUGAUCCAAUUAGUAAAAUUUUGAUUCAAAAUCGGCUUUUAAAUCUGAAGGCAAUCAGCGAAAAUCAUGCUGAAACUUACCAAUUAAUAUAUGGUAAAAUAAUUGAAUUUCCUCGAACUUUCCUUUUUAUGUCAAAAUAAUUGCAAUAAAAAUUUUCAUGCUGUCUCAAAUACUUUUUUCUAAUAUAAUUGUUUUAAACCAGGUCCAUUUUUUACGAUUAUUGUUAUAUUUAUAGAAAUAGGUGCGAUAAUUAAUAAUGAUACAAACAAACGAUGAAACUUUAAAUGUAACAUUUAUGCUUUCGAAUACAGAAGUUACUUAAGUGGCAGCUCAAUUAUUUCAGCCAGAUUUAUCACUUCCUUCAAAUGUUUUCCUUUAAAUUAAGUGGCACACCAACGGCCGAGCGAUAAAGUCGCUAAACACUGGCAGUUCGACCGGGGAUCGAAUCCCGGCGAACAGGCUGGCUACAUGGUUGGUUUUUGUGGUUUCCCCAUGUGUAACGUGAAUACGAGCCAGUUUCCUUUAAAGAGUCCUCCCACGAAGGCAUCCCUCCCCACAAGCAGAUAACCCUCGAGGUGCUCUAUCUUAAUCAAGUAACCUUACCUAAUCUAAACUUUAAAUAAAAAAGAUAUGAAAUGCAAUAGUAAAAAUGUUUUGUUUCGUCUGCAGAAAACGUUUUUAGUUUUGAUAACAUUAACAGCAAAAUAUCUGUUUCAAAAAAUUAUAUUAAUUUGUGUAUAUAUAUCUUUACUUGUUCUUUGGAGAUUAAAAUAUAUUUUUGUGAAUGAUAUUGGUUUAUAUUCUUGAGAAAUUGUAUGUUAUACUAGUUUCUUUUUAAAAUUCUUCUAUUUAUUCCUGUUAACUAAAGCUAAAUUGAAUAACACUCAUUGAUGUAUAAUUUAUGUUUCCUUUAUGUGUUAAGCAAAUCUUUAAAAUUAAAAGUUAUCUUACAGUUUUACAGAAUACAAUCAGCUUUUCAUGAAUUUAAUUGCUAUAAAUACGUUAAUUAAAUAGGCACUUAUGUCAUUAAUUGGUAAGUUAUCGAUUUAAUCAAUCUAUUCGGAGAUGUUACACUACUGAAGAGCACUUUUAUAUUAUGAAGAUUUAUGAUAAAUUUUAGUGUUAUAUAAAAUUCUCUUCUUUCAUAUUAUGUAUGGCAACUAUUGUGUGCUAUUGAUAAUUGCAAUGCUUGUGUAAAAUUUUCUUGAAUGAUGUGGUAAUAAAAAGUUUCGUGAAACGCU